rnacentral:rRNA from 1 species
CCUACGGGCGUCAGCAGUGGGGGAUAUUGCACAAUGGGGGAAACCCUGAUGCCGCGACGCCGCGUGGGUGAAGAAGCGCCUCGGCGCGUAAAGCCCUGUCAGCAGGGAAGAAAAUGACGGUACCUGAAGAAGAAGCCCCGGCUAACUACGUGCCAGCAGCCGCGGUAAUACGUAGGGGGAAAGGGUUAUCCGGAUUUACUGGGUGUAAAGGGGGCGCAGACGGCGAUGCAAGACAGGAGUGAAAGCCCGGGGCCCAACCCCGGGACUGCUCUUGGAACUGCGUGGCUAGAGUGCAGGAGGGGCAGGCGGAAUUCCUGGUGUAGCGGGGAAAUGCGUAGAGAUCAGGAGGAACACCGGUGGCGAAGGCGGCCUGCUGGACUGCAACUGACGUUGAGGCCCGAAAGCGUGGGGAGCAAACAGGAUUAGAUACCCUGGUAGUC